rnacentral:rRNA from 1 species
GCCUAUGGCCACGCCACCCUAAAAGCGCCUGAUCUCGGAAGCCAUCCAGGGCAAUGCCUGGUUAGUACCUGGAUGGUAGACCGCCUGGGAAUACAGGUGUUGUAGGCU